GUUUGUCCGUUGUGAAUGCGUUAUCUGAGGCAUUAGAAGUUAUUGUUUGGCGUGAUGGGAAGGCAUACCAACAAAAAUAUUCCCGUGGAAAGCCUGUAACAACUUUAAUAUGUCAUGAGCUUCGAGAUGAAUCAAAAGAUCGUCAAGGGACACACAUUAAGUUUUGACCUGACAAAGAAGUAUUCACUACUGCAAUUCAGUUUGAUUACCCCACCAUUGCUGGACGAAUUAGGGAGCUUGCAUUUUUAAACCUUGAGGUGGAGUCAUUACAACCUGUUUGCAGUUCCAUUGCAUCUUUGAAACUUUUAAAUAUUGAUUUUAGCAUGUCUCUUGAAUUCUUCAU